ACUGAGGAAAAAAAAGAGGUUAUUGUUCCAGGUGGCCCUUAAAAGGAAUUGUGGAAUUGCUAAAUAGUCACGGCUGUAAGUCACAUCUGAUUCUGAAAUCCUGACAGGCCUUGUCAGUGGAUAAUUGAUGUCACACUGAUUCCCUCUCCCAAAUUCAGGAAAUGCCAUAGAACUGUUAAUUAGAAGAUAAAAUUAUGCAAGUGUUAGAGGCAACCUAAAGGAGCUGCUUGGUUUGGUUGUUUCCAUUGUCCAGGAGUGCUGUUAUGGAUGCCGAGGGUAUGAUGUGGAGGUAGUCAAAAGCCAGGGAUGAUUUGGUCACUAACUGCUCUUCAGGGCUGCUGUCACCCUUGCACCACCAAAAUAGCUCAGAGAUAUUUCCUGAGGGUAAUCUGGUUGGGAAGUGAUUGCCAGUGAACAGAGUAAAUCAUCCACCGAGAAGGCUGAGAACUUGCCUGGGAGAGGUGACUCACAUUUGGUAGCAUCUUUCCUUGAAUGGUGUGUAUGAGUGCUCUUCUGUCUUUCUAACCACGUGAAAUUCACGCCGCUAGUAGUCCCAUGGAAACAGGAAGGGAAAUAGGCCCAUGCUGAGACAUGCCUGAGGGUCUGAUCAGGCUCCUUGACGUACUUUCAGCUCAGUGCUCAUACUGAGCCAUGCAUGGAAGAUGUCAGCAAGCCUGUUUCCAUGGGAGGGUUGUGUUUCCAUGGCUGUCUGAUCUGAAUAGAAGGCUGAGAACCCUGGCCCCAUUCCUGGUCCCUCGAAGGCCACCAGAGUCCUACCACACACUGUGGAAGAACCAAGGUCUUGGCAUUUCUCAAGUCACCCUAACAUCUACUCUCCAUGUCUGGAUGUUGGAGAAAUGAAGACUGAUUAAUUCCUUUGUGUGAAAGCAUAAUGCUUUCCUUGUGCUGUAUCUACCUGGCCUGGUGUAUUUCCUGAGGUGUAUUUACAUCAGAGAUGAGGCUGCAUGUUAAUGGCUGCUGUGCUUUCCGCUAGAGGAAUUAAAUUACGAGUAAAGCUAGAGCGGACAGAGAUGCUGGACUUGAUUAGGGAGACAGCCCCCUCUGCCUGCUGCAAGGCACUGCAGCCCGAGGAGCACUGCCUGGCUGAGCUUCCUGUGGGGCUGAACUGGUGUCAGCACUGAGCAAUGCUUUGCCCUAGUGCUGCAAGAUCUCUCUUUCUCUCUCUCUCUCUCUCUCUUUUUUUUUUUUUAACAAUGUCCAUGUAAGUUUAACAAGCAAUCAUAGAAUUAAAAGACCACCUGUGACUUAAGGAGAUUACUCAACACUGAUGCCUUCCAUCUCCUAUCCCAUGGGAAUCUGAAGGCCUAGGAGAAAAGGAUAUCAUCUACAGCAAGCUGUGAAGGGCAUCUGAUAAUUGAUCGCAGCACAUGGAAAAGGCUUUGAGAGGCCCCCACAGCUGGUGCCUGGUGUGGUCUGCACUGAAUUGCUCUGCAGCUCUGUAAUUACAGAUCUGCAGCAGUUCUGUGAUGUGACACCGCUAACAUGAGCCCAAAUCUAAAUAAAUGGACCAAUGUCCUGCUUCGAUGCAGGGGAUGGAAGGUAGAACAUAAAUGUUUUGUGAGUUUUUAGAGGCAGAUUUAGAAAAAGAGGACCUCACGGAGCAAGACAGCAGGAGUGCAAAUAUGCUUAAUAAAAAAAGUGAUUUAUACUAAGA